UCAAUGUUAUUAGUGAACAGGAACUCAGCCGUAACAUGAUAAGCAGCUCGAGGUAAUGGCUAAGUAAACAUUGCUUGCUCUGCAACCCGGGCUCGUUCCGACACUUUCCUUGAUGUGCAAUGCAUCCUGGUACGCACACUGCAGGUGCUGCGGGAACAGCUGAUGGGAGGAAGUUAAUACUUUUAGUGGACAGAAGUGUCAGCAGGUUUGCAGACAGUCACACAGAAGACCCUGAUCCUAGAGCGGAGGUGGAAGCGUGCAGAGGAAGCUUCCUGCCUGCGUCACUUUUACAGACGGACAAGGAGCCACAGCUGGAACUGAUGAUAAAACUUGGACUCCACUUCGUAACAGUGAGAUCAAAGUCGCAGGAUUUCUAUUUUUAAAUGAUUGGACUCUGGCUUUCUUGUCACGACUGAGCUUGAGCGUCAAGAGGAAGUGUUUAUCCGAAGGAUGUCAU